GCCAAGACCAUGCGACUGCACUCUAACCUGGGUGACAGAGUGAGAUCCUGUCCCCCUCCAAAAAAAGGUACAGGAAUUUAAACCCAAAAAUGUGAACAGAAGGAAAUAACAGUAGAAAUUAAUGUCAGAAAACAAACACAAUAUAGAAAAUCCUCAAAGAAAAAAUAGAUUUAUAAUAGGAAGAAAGUUGAUAAACCUAUAGGAAUAGUGAACAUAACACAAAUUACUAACAUCAGACUUGAAAAGGAAGACAUCACUACAGACCCUAUAGACCCUAAACAGAAGAUAUGAACAAUUUUAUGUGAUUAAAUUUGAAAAUGUGUAUUAGACAAAUUCCUAGAAAAAUAUAACUUAUGAAAAUCCAUACUAGGAGAAUUAGAAAAUUUGAAUAUUGAAGCAUGCUUCUUAUCCAUAUACAACAGACAUGUUUAGGUAGAUCAAAGAAGCAGGGAGUUUGGUUCCAUGACUGCCCUGAAAUAAUUUCUUUUCUCUCUAGCCACAGAGCGAUACAGUGAAAAAUCAGAAACAGAGUCUGUUCCUGCAGGUUACUGAUAAACAACAUAGGUUGAAUUCAUGGCUUCAUCAGGUUUCUUAAAUAAUAAUUAGAUUAUUUUGAAAGAAAGAAUACAAACCCAAAAAGUAGAAUAGUGGUACCUGAAAACAUUACAAUGACCAAGUACCCAAAACCCCGAAGAUUUAUCUUGCCAAUACGUAGCUCCUACCCUAUCUAAUGAGAAUGGUUUUGAUUUUCUUGAAUAUCUUGAAAAGCAAUUUUUCUGAACUUCAUUUUCAACAUCUAGACAACUGAGGGUAAAACCUACUUUUAUAAUACUCUAUUGAAGAAGGAAAUUAAAUCAUAGCAAUAGUAAAGAAAAACCUUAUACAUUGUAGUUCCUAUAAAAUACAGUAAAUUUUGCUGUGUUGUGUGCUGUCAUACCUCCUUAGCUUCCUGCAAACCAUUUAACCCUUAUCUAUCCUCCUCACAUUCCUAGCAAAGUUCCCAGGCAUCUAGAAAUUCCUGUUUUUCUUGCUGACCUGCUGCAAGGUCACAGAGCAGAUAGAAACUGAGGAAUGCGUUUCUCAAAAUGUUACUUUUCAAAUGUAAAGUACAUCACAAGACACGUCACAAACUGAUUAACUGUUCUGUGUUCUGGCUUCUGUAACUACUGCAUCAUUUUAGGUGCAUAAAAAGUACCCCAUUUUCUUUGUCCUUUGCUCAGAAUUAGGAAGCGAUACUGCUAAGCCCAAUCACGUUAAAUAAAAUCCUCCUGCAACCCCAUUGGUCUCUCUAAAUCUCUGAUUUCCUGCUACAUUUUCUGGCGCCUGAACAGGGACUUGAAACGGCAGGCUUACUGUCUCCUUUACCUGUGGGACGAAGGCCCUGGACCACAGGAGACCUGUGACCCUAGGUACUGCUGGGAGAACUUCAGCCCAGACAGGAGACCUGCUCUGCCGUGCCCCGGCAUCCACUCCUGGACAGCGCAUCAGACCUUUGGAAGGGGUUGCAGGACGAUCUCCAGGACCAACAUAUUUCAGGAAUUACAGCAGUGUGCCCUGGAUUCAUCAUAGCCGGUUAAAACCCACAGCAGCCCAGAAGUGGACCAGUGAGCAAAGGCUAAUCCUGAGAUGAGACCAAAGUGUCAAUGAAGGUGACAGCCCUGCUCUAGUCACACCACCAGAGGCUGACCAGUCCAGGCAUGGCUGAAGCUUAAGGAAUCAUCAAAAAUAAAUAUGGACUGAAAUUUUAAGUCUAAUUGCAAUCUUAGUGUUCUUAUCUAUUCUAUCACUAUGCUGUCAUCUUUGCCAACCCUUACAUCCAAGGAAAGAUUUACCCUGCCCCUGCAUAGUGGUAUAGAUAUGUUAAUUUUUAUUCUACUAUUGUUAACUUCAGUAUCUGUACAAAAGGAACCGCAACCGGUAAAAUAAUGUACUUACUGCCUGUAGACUACUUGAAUUUAGGAAUACAGUAGUUAAGACCUUGCUGUAUCCAACAUAUUAUAAGUGUACAGGGACUCAGCUAGGCGCUUGUACUUAUAAUCCAAUAAUUUAUUCAGUUGGUAACCCAGGCAAUGAGCAACUUUAUGUAUGUUACGACCCCAAAUCUGUGCCUGGGAUCGGGUUUGAAAUACAAAGGGAGUCAAAAGAAGGUCCUCUCCUAAACAGAACUGAGGUCCCACCUUUCCAUGAGGAAGCAUUUCCUUUGCAUUUCGAUGCCUGCCAAGCAACAUACUCAGGCAUAGCCUACUCUGCUAACUGUGGUAACCCAACCUGGGAAAGACAUAGCAAACUUCGUAUGUGUGUGGGCCAAAAGUUGCUCCACUUUGCUCCCCUGGGACCCCGGGAAGGGAUUAUAGGUACUGCACAACACGUUCCUAAACGGGAGCAUCAGGAACCAGUUGUGCUUACCGAAAUGCCAACAAAGCCAAACUGUGAAACAAAAACCUGCAAUCCUAUAAAGCUUACUAUCCCAAAGCCAGAUUUACCCACGUGGACUAAGGUCACCCCAUAAUGGUGUUUACAGAAACAUUCCCAAUCACCCAUUUGUAUAUUAUCAAAAAGGGAACUCGGGCCCAUCCCCCUCAACCUCAGUUCCAAGUUUUCAAGUCAUUUUAUGAAAACUAUAAAAGAACUAACCAGGAGGUUUUUGAACCCCCUCCAGUAGCCAGUAAUCUGUUUGUUCAACUGGCUAAAAGUAUAGCUAAUAAUCUAGCUGUUUCUUCUUGCUAUGUCUGUGGAGGCAUUAUCAUGGGAAAUCAAUGGCCAUGGGAUGCAAAAGAGUUAAUGCCUCAAUAAAACUUUACCUUGACCCUCACCCCUCCCAAGCCUACACUUAAGCACUCAAGUAUUUGGCUCCUAAAAACUUCCAUUGUUGGGAAGUACUGUAUUGCCCACUGGGGAAACACUUUCAUUAAUCCAGUAGGA